rnacentral:tRNA from 1 species
GUUUAUAUAGUUUAACAAAAACAAUGGUCUUGUAAAUCAUAAUUAGGUUUUAACCUUUUAAACU